rnacentral:tRNA from 1 species
AGCUUCGUAGUCGAGUGGUAAGGACACUGCCUCCCACCCUAGAGUCCCGGGUUCGAUUCCCGGUCGAGGAGCUA